GGUGAACCAGGCAAAGCUGGCCGAGCAGGCUGAGCGAUGCGACAACAUGGUGGACUCAAAGAAGAAAGUAGCAGGGGUGGAUGUGGAGCUGACAGGUGAAGAAAGAAACCUUCUAUCUGUUGCAUAUAAGAAUGUGAUUGGAGCUAGAAGAGCUUCCUGGAGAAUAAUCAGCAGCACUGAAUAGAAAGAAGAAAACAAGGGAGGAGAAAACAAACGAAAACUGAUUCGGGAAUAUGGGCAAAUGGUUGAGACUGAGCUAAAGUUAAUCUGCUGCGCCAUUCUGGAUGUACUGGACAAACACCUCAUUCCAGCAGCUAACGCUGGCGAGUCCAAGGUUUUCUACUUCUAUAAAAUGAAAGGGGACUACCACAGGUGUCUGGCAGAAUUUGCCACAGGCAAUGACAGGAGGGAGGCUGCGGAGAACAGCCUGGUGGCUUAUAAAGCUGCUCGUGAUAUUGCAAUGACAGAACUUCCACCAACGCAUCCUAGUCGCUUAGGUCUUGCUCUCAACUUUUCCGUAUUCUACUAUGAAAUUCUUAAUUCCCCUGACCGUGCCUGCAGGUUAGCAAAAGCGGCUUGGGAUGAUGCAAUUGCAGAACUGGAUACGCUGAGUGCAGAAAGCUAUAAGGACUCUACACUUAUCAUGCAGUUGUUACGUGAUCAUCUGACACUAUGGACUUCAGACAUGCAGGGUGACGGUGAAGAGCAGAAUAGAGAAUGCUGCAGGAUGUGGAAGACGACAAUCAGGGAGACACGACAGCCACCAAGAGAAACCAUCUCUGACCACCCCACUCCUCCCCACCCCACCCCUUGGAAAUUCCCCAUCGUCACUGAGAACCACCAAAUCUGACUUUUACAUUUGGU